rnacentral:SRP_RNA from 1 species
UCGUGCUAGACGGGGAGCUAGCGGUGCCCUGUACCCGCAAUCCGCUAUAGCGGGGUCGAAUUCCUGCUCGAGGUCUGGCACUUUGAGGUUCGGCCGCCGCAAGCGGCGUUGAUGGCCGGGUCCUGCGCAACGGCCGGCUUAUGAACCCCGUCAGGUCCGGAAGGAAGCAGCGGUAAGUAAGUUCGCCCGUGUGCCGCAGGGUUUCCUGGCCGGAGUUGGCUACGUGCGGUAUCACUUGGGGUGCCUUAUCGAAAGCAGGUGCACGA